UAUAUACACAUCUGCUGGCUGGUCUUUACUUUUCAUAUUGAAGAUUUUUUCUUUCUCUCUCUUUCCUCUCUCCCUCUCCUCUCUCUACCCACACCACCAGCCCACUGCCCCACCAGCCCAGACCCUCAACCCACCGCCUUCCGACCACCGCCAGUCCAUCGUCGGCGGCGCAGCCCUUGCAUUUUUAGAGUAAAAUAUAUAUAACAAGCAUCUGCAAUGGGUUCUGGAUACUGGCUUAAAAAUGUAAUCAGUUUGAGAAAAGCUAAGGAUGGCAGAUCGAAAAGAUUAAAGAGACAGGGAACGUCUAUUGGAAGAAAGGGGGAUGCCCACUCUCAGAAAGAGCCUACAAGAAGAAAAAGUGGUGCC